UCGGCUCCGCAGCCGGGCCCCGAGCGAGCUCCGCGAGUCCUGGCGAGAGCCGAGGGCUCCCCGGGUUCAAAGGGCCGCAGCCCCGAGGGAACGCCCUCCUUGCUGUGCCCCGGGGGGCAGAAGCGGACUGCUGGGCGGUGGGACCGGCCUGGGCCACGAUUUAAAUACAGUGACAAGGAAUAUUGCAAUGUUGAUGUGGCAGUGGACCCGAGAAAAAAACUGAAGAACUCCGCUUGAGUCACAGACGGGACAAAUAGGGAAAGUAUCACUGACCCCAGAUGUGCCCUUACCUGACUUGGGAGCCUUCGUUGAGAAGCCGGCACUACCAUACCCUUUUGUACAACCAUUGUUUCUUCUUGGUGUGAACAGAAAUAGUUGGAUGACUUUUUUCAAGCACCAACAGCUCUUUAGUAGCAGGGUGGCAAUUACUGUUUCCUCAAGCCUGGAGUGCAUGGUUAUGGGACAGCCACUUCCUCCUUCAAAUCACAUCCAUUAAUCUGUGUGGGCAAAGUCCAUCACUAUCAUCUAUUGAUCAUAUUUGGCUUGGGUGGAACAGAUUUUCAACUGUCACAAGUAAAAUACUCCCUACAGACCAGGCUUAGUAAUUCUGACUUUUGAAAUCUCCUGUCGUGAACAAAUCUACACUGCACUUUAUUUCUUGCCCCGCCCUGGAAUUCAGCCACUCCUGCACUACAUUUCUUAAGGUGAAGAAGUGAAAGAUGAAGACACCAAUCCACGUGAACGUGUAUUAUUCUCUUCUAUAGUGCUAUUGUAUUAUAUUCCCUCUUUUUUUUUAAUUCUCUUGAUUUCUCUGCACAAAGGAGGGAAAUUCUUCCAAAGCAACGGAAAGUUUCCUUGCAAUAUUUUUAUCUAGUCACACUUACAUAGUGUAAUGUCUCUCUCUUACAGCAUUUUACAGUUUGGGAUUUGUUUUUAAUCCUGUGGAAAAUGUCCUAACAGGGCUUUGGUGUAUCUUUGUUCCAAUUUCUACAUUGCUUGGGGAGGGGGAGAAGCUUUCUUUGUAUUAAAUGAAAUAACACCUCUACUUCAUUAAGUAAAUAGACACCUCAACCAUUAGUUGCUAAUGAAACAAAAAUCUAAGUAAAACAUCUAACUAUCCAAAUACUACAUUUUCUCUACAUUUACCCCAAAAUGUGCCUUAUCUCCCUGCACCUCCAAAUAAUAUUUCUAGUGUUUUCAUUUUAUUAGUUUUGCAAUGUCACUGUCCAGAUAGAAUUAUUCGAUGACUUAAAACAACUUUCGUAAGAUUUUCAAGCCCUAAAUUAAAAAAUCAUAUUUCAAUAAAA